GCAGUCGAGCGGAUGAGAGGAGCUUGCUCCUGGAUUCAGCGGCGGACGGGUGAGUAAUGCCUAGGAAUCUGCCUGGUAGUGGGGGACAACGUUUCGAAAGGAACGCUAAUACCGCAUACGUCCUACGGGAGAAAGCAGGGGACCUUCGGGCCUUGCGCUAUCAGAUGAGCCUAGGUCGGAUUAGCUAGUUGGUGAGGUAAUGGCUCACCAAGGCGACGAUCCGUAACUGGUCUGAGAGGAUGAUCAGUCACACUGGAACUGAGACACGGUCCAGACUCCUACGGGAGGCAGCAGUGGGGAAUAUUGGACAAUGGGCGAAAGCCUGAUCCAGCCAUGCCGCGUGUGUGAAGAAGGUCUUCGGAUUGUAAAGCACUUUAAGUUGGGAGGAAGGGUUGUAGAUUAAUACUCUGCAAUUUUGACGUUACCGACAGAAUAAGCACCGGCUAACUCUGUGCCAGCAGCCGCGGUAAUACAGAGGGUGCAAGCGUUAAUCGGAAUUACUGGGCGUAAAGCGCGCGUAGGUGGUUUGUUAAGUUGGAUGUGAAAUCCCCGGGCUCAACCUGGGAACUGCAUCCAAAACUGGCAAGCUAGAGUAUGGUAGAGGGUGGUGGAAUUUCCUGUGUAGCGGUGAAAUGCGUAGAUAUAGGAAGGAACACCAGUGGCGAAGGCGACCACCUGGACUGAUACUGACACUGAGGUGCGAAAGCGUGGGGAGCAAACAGGAUUAGAUACCCUGGUAGUCCACGCCGUAAACGAUGUCAACUAGCCGUUGGGAGCCUUGAGCUCUUAGUGGCGCAGCUAACGCAUUAAGUUGACCGCCUGGGGAGUACGGCCGCAAGGUUAGCCCGCACAAGCGGUGGAGCAUGUGGUUUAAUUCGAAGC
rnacentral:rRNA from 1 species